UACGGAGGGUGCAAGCGUUAUCCGGAUUCACUGGGUUUAAAGGGUGCGUAGGCGGGUAUGUAAGUCAGUGGUGAAAUCUCGAAGCUUAACUUCGAAACUGCCAUUGAUACUAUAUAUCUUGAAUAUUGUGGAGGUUUGCGGAAUAUGUCAUGUAGCGGUGAAAUGCUUAGAUAUGACAUAGAACACCUAUUGCGAAGGCAGCAGGCUACACAUAUAUUGACGCUCAUGCACGAAAGCGUGGGGAUCAAACAGG
rnacentral:rRNA from 1 species